AAAACAUUCAGCAAACCCCAUGCCAGGUGUAUGUCAAGUGCACCUCACCUAGUUUUAUACUCGGCAAACCCUAUGCCAAGUACAUAUCUGCCUUCAACGGGUGCUCAGCUUAGUAUGUUUUUUUCUGUAGUACAUUUGCCCAAAGAAAAACUACAGCAUCACAAAUCUGCAGGGGUCCUCAUAGAGAAAGGUCGGAUUGAUAUACUGACGAGGCAUUUAAUAUUAUAUUAGGUUGAAUUGAAAUGAUAACCUUAAAAUAAGGAGGGGCACUUAAGUUUGGUGGCAAAUCUAACCUGAAUAAUCAUAUGCAUGUGUGCAAAUGCAUGUACAAACUAAUGCACGAAACCACAUAUAAUUUAAUAGAUACGCUACUUAUUCAAUAUUCAAGCUCGUACAAUAUACAAAUAACCAAGUCAAAAAAUAUUGCAGGGCGAUCAAAUACUGGCAAUCAACUACAUAUCUUCAGCAUUUCACUGAAAAAAUAGGACAAACAAGCAAGAAUACACUGAAGCAGUAUCAUCCAAGCAGCUCAAAGCAAGUCUCCAAGCAGCUCAAAGCAAGAUCAUGCCGGGCAACGACCUCACUAUGCAUGCCGUUACUGUCGGUGGCGUCUUUGUUUACAUGCAUGACAGAAGCAACUUACGGGGCAUGAAGAAGACAAUAAUUGUUGCACGUGCUUGGUCCCAAGCUAAGCUACGCCCGCCUGAAUUAGAAAUUGGCGAAGCGCGUUAUUGUGUCAUCACUUAUGUCUGAAUUAGAGUAUAUGAUAACCGUCUUGCAAACAAAAUAUUCAGUUUCUCUGUUCCUAUAAGAAAAAUAGAAAACCAGAAGCCAUCAGUGUGUAAUGCCAUCUAUCAACACAAGGCCAUAAAUUUUAUUUAACUUUGAAUCCAGAUUGUCCUAUUUAUUAGCAAAAAGAGUCUAUAUCCGGAAAAAGAAAUUUUGUAUUGGAAAAUGGAUUUGGAAAACUUCACACCAGAAUAAUGUAAAGCAGUGUAUUUAAAUAAACUGCAGAGCGAUGGAAAUAAUAGUAAACUUGAUAAAGAAAAAAUUGAUUAACACAAUGCUUGUAAGAUAUCACGACAUGCAAGGAAAAUGCUUACCUAAAUAUAAUACAAAAUCCUAAAUUAGCUGAGAGCAGGAGACAAACAUAUUAAGCUCAACUUAACGGGAAGAAUCACUAUGAAUAUUUCAAUACAUAAUGUCAAGAUUGUUAUGCAAAAACAUAAUGGAGUAGCAUUUAAGCAUGUGGAAAUCAUCAUACUAAUUACAAGAGCAUACCCUGCACCUCCUUGAUCACCACGUCGAACCUCAUGCCUCGACCAUGGCAGCUGGCAGCACCUGCCUGGGGUGUGUCCAAGAUGGUUGGGACAAUUUUCCAGUCCAUGCUGCCAGUCCAAGCUGGAAUGCAUACACAAAUUACUACACAUAUCUCAUAUGCUUGUGAAAUAUUGAGAUGACCAAAUUAUUUAGACCAAGUAGCCCUACUUUGAGAUGAGCACCACUUUCCAUUAUUUCAUCAUUCAGCUAAAAAUUAAAUAUUUGACUGAUAUUUAGACCCAGACCCUCCAGAACAAAUAGAAAAUGAGGCUUGUCAAUAUCUAUCCAUCGUUUCUGCAUCUCUAAAUCAAAAUAUAUUCUGAACCCAAAACCAAGACCAUAUGCACAACAGGAAAGGGGUUGACAUUGUGCUGAACCUGUAACACAUAGCAGAUAAUUUCUGACUUUGUGUCUAGGCUGGAUUGUACGUAAGACAUGUACGUAUUACAUAUUCAAAAUCAUUCAGGUAAACAGGAAGGCUUGCAUCGAAAGGAGAAUAUAAACUGUGAUACAUGGGAGUGUAAGAAUACAUUGUUCGAAUCUGGGAUCUACCAUGGAAAUGCUCAACAAGCAGCCCUAAAUAUAGCAAUACUUCUCAACAAAUGAGAUAAACAGAGAUAACAAUAUCAGUUGUAGAUUCAGAUUUAUUUGAACAAAAUAUAUCUUAAGUUUGUCUGCUAAUUAGAAUAAGAAUUAGAAGGGACCAUAGCUAGUAAUUCAGACGAAUUAAUUGUAGGGAAGAACUGAGCAAAGUUACGGCUUCAUAGCAAAACUGGAUUUGUAAUGUAUACUGUGUGUUCCUGUUGAUAGUACAAAUGUAAGAACAAAGCGCCUCAGUGCAGCACGUACAGGAAGAUAAAAAGGUAAGCUGUGCUAGUGCCCAUACUCUGCUUCUCUACCUCUGCCCAUAAGGUGUUUGCUGAAUUGUUUGCUCCGAUUCAGUCAAUCAGUCGAGUCGUGAACCUGUCCACCCUGUUCGUGAGACAGAGAUAGACUCGAGCCCGCUGUCGGCCUGUCACAGAAGAAUUGAAAUGAUUAAAGAACUUCAACAGGAAUAAUACUCCAUUUGGAAACUAAUAAAAGCCGUUUUAGGUCAGUAUUUCGUGACCUACAACGUCUUAUAUUAGUUUAGCGCAUUAGUAGCGAAGCAAUUCUCUGAAAAAAAUCAGCAAAUUAGAAGUUAUGAGGUUUCAUUACGUACCUCCAAACAAAUUCUCUAAAACAUCUUUCCAGCUAGCUAUUAGUAGUUCUCUCGGGACUUGAUGGACAUCUUUGUCAGAAGAGCACAACCGCAGAUGAAUCAAUUAACACAACGGAGGGAAGAAAAAAUUAUGUUGAAUAGCAAAGAACAUGUAAAUUCACUUGAAAAUAGGUCACCUUUCUAAAUCAUUGCAAUGUAUCACUGUAUGUAAACC
rnacentral:lncRNA from 1 species